rnacentral:rRNA from 1 species
AACGAACGCUGGCGGCAUGCCUAACACAUGCAAGUCGAACGAGACCUUCGGGUCUAGUGGCGCACGGGUGCGUAACGCGUGUGAAUCUGCCCUUGGUUUCGGAAUAACAGUGAGAAAUUACUUCUAAUACCGGAUGAUUUCUUCGGACCAAAGAUUUAUCGCCCAGGGAUGAGCCCGCGUAGGAUUAGCUAGUUGGUGGGGUAAUGGCCUACCAAGGCGACGAUCCUUAGCUGGUCUGAGAGGAGGAUCAGCCACACUGGGACUGAGACACGGCCCAGACUCGUACGGGAGGGAGCAGUGGGGAAUAUUGGACAAGGGGCGCAAGCCUGAUAAAGCAAUGCCGCGUGAGUGAUGAAGGCCGUAGGGUUGUAAAGCUGUUUUACACGGGAUGAUAAUGACAGUACCGGGAGAAUAAGCACCGGCUAACUCCGUG